rnacentral:rRNA from 1 species
AUGGGCUCCAAGAUGCUUCUGGUCACCGCUCUCUUGGUGGGCAUAGCCUCUCAGAGCUAUGCCACCAGGAGCCUUGACGGAAACCACUUGGCUGAUCAGAAGUACGGCGGCGGCGGCUACGGAGGUGGCGGUGGGGGCUCCGGAGGUGGUGGUGGCUACGGAGGAGGUGGCAGCGGCGGCGGGGGUGGCUAUGGAGGAGGCGGCGGCGGUGGCUACGGAGGAGGAGGCGGCGGUUACACACCGAUGCCAACACCGUCGACCCCCAGCCACAGCGGAUCCUGCGACUACUGGAAGGGCCACCCGGAGAAGAUCAUCGACUGCAUCGGCAGCCUGGGCAGCAUCCUGGGCUCCCUCGGAGAGGUGUGCCACUCCUUCUUCGGCAGCAAGAUCCAUACCCUGCAGGACGCGCUGUGCAACACCCGGACCGACUGCUACGGCGACCUGCUGCGCGAGGGCGCCGCCGCCUACAUCAACGCCAUCGCCGCCAAGAAGGAGAAGUUCGCCUACACCGCCUACCAGGUCAAGGAGUGCGUCGCCGUCGGGCUCACCUCCGAGUUCGCCGCCGCCGCGCAGGCCGCCAUGUUGAAGAAGGCCAACUACGCCUGCCACUACUAG